ensembl:snRNA U6 U6 spliceosomal RNA
GUGCUCGCCUCAGCAGCACAUAUACCAAAAUUGGAAUGAUACAAAGAAAAUGAUCAUGGUCCCUGUGCAAAGACAACAGGCACGUUCGUGAAGCAUUCCAUUAAAAC